rnacentral:lncRNA from 10 species
UACCAUUUAAGUACAAGAUGUCCUUGACUCUUCAUCAACUGCUACAUUAAUAAUGAACAUAACCCUGGGAAAUUUGGGGAUUUCAUAUGGUGCGAAGAGAGGUCACUUUGAGGUAUUCAGCUGGUGGAUGGCUUCUCUUACAUGUCCCCUUGGCAGGGAUCACUAGAAGUCUGGCUCAGCUGGGGCUAUUCACCAUGGUGGCUACAUAAUGGCUUCUCCAGUAUGGUGAUUUCAGGUUAGUUGAAUUUUUACAUUAUAGCUCAAGACUAGCAAACAUAGUGUUUGAAGAAGCUUGAGUGGAAGCUUCAAGACUUAUGACCAAGAUUAGAAGUCCUGGAAUGUCACUUCUACCAUUUUCUACUGCUCAAGAAAGUCACUAAGACCAGCCCAAAUCCAAGGAGAGAGGAAUUAGAUUUCAACUCUCAACAGGAGAAGUACCAUACUAAAGACUAUAUGACCAUCUUUGGUAAGGUUGACUGGCAGGUCUUCUGCUCCAUGCUGUAUCAACUGGGGUCACACAAAUAUAAUUAGUUGGUGGCUGGGCUGGGUCUAGAAGAUUGAAAAAGACCCCCCUUAUACAUCUGGUGGCUCAGCUGGGGUGGUUUGAGUGGCUGGAGCACCUCGGUCCUCUUCCAGAAAUAACGCCUUUCAGGAGCACAAGAGUUGAUGAAAGAAAACACUCUCAAAGUCAAGUUUGCUGUAGCCUGUAUACCUGAAAACGGUGGGCUUGAGAGGCCGGGAAGAGAAAGAAAGAAGAGGGAUAGUAACAACCUAAACAGCAAAGACUUGGAACUUGAAAUUAAAAAGAUAUACACCUAUCUAUGUAUUUCUGAUAUGUUUGUCAUAAUUUCAACCAAAGUUCAUGAUCUAUAGAAUUUUGCAUAAAUAAAAAAUAUCAUUUGGUUAGU